CAGUCGCCGCGGUAAUACGGAGGAUCCGAGCGUUAUCCGGAAUUAUUGGGUUUAAAGGGUGCGUAGGCGGAUAGAUAAGUCAGUGGUGAAAGACGGUGGCUCAACCAUCGCAGUGCCGUUGAUACUGUUUAUCUUGAAUAUGGAUGAGGUAGGCGGAAUGUGGCAAGUAGCGGUGAAAUGCAUAGAUAUGCCACAGAACACCGAUUGCGAAGGCAGCUUACCAAGGCAAAAUUGACGCUGAGGCACGAAAGCGUGGGGAUCGAACAGGAUUAGAUACCCGUGUAGUCCCUGUCUCUUAUAA
rnacentral:rRNA from 1 species